CCUAUACUAGAUAAUGAAACUUACAUUCAAUUUAUUUUGUUUCUUAAUCUAUGAUACUGGACAGUUAAUCCCACAGAACACAGUAUCCUUCCAAACUCGACAGAAAAUAAUUUACAGCCAUUGCAAAUCUUUUUUAUACAA